GGCUUCUUGAUCCUAUGUGUUGUAUUGAGUGUUGGUCACUGGUCUUUGGGAAGCUUGGACAGAAGUGGGGCAGCCAUGGAGCUGCUGACUGGGACUGGCCUGUGGCCCGUGGUCAUAGUCACAGUCAUCUUCAUAUUACUGGUGGACAUGUUGCACCGGUGCCAGCGCUGGACUUCUUGCUGCCCACCAGACCCUGUGCCAUGGCCUGUGCUGGGUAACCUGCUGCAGGUGGACCUGGAUAACAUGCCAUAUAACUUGUACAAGAUGUGUCUGCAGGUGUGGUCCUUGCUCCUUAUGGGCCUGAGUGGAAAGAGCAGAGGUGAUUCUCUGCGUCGACCCUGUGCAACUUCAGCCUGGGCAAGAAAUCACUGGAGCAGUGGGUGAUGGAAGAGGUUGGACACCUCUUUGAUGUCUUCACUGCCCAUGCUGAGGAGGCUGUAGACAAGAGAUUUGGAAAGAACACAUCUAGAAGUGUCCACCACAGUAAUAGGAGCCUGGAGAUUGACAUACAGCAAAAGGAAGUGAGAAGCUGACCAAGGUCAGGGCUUCUAGAAGCUGAGACCCUGGCCCUCUGCCCACAUGGAACAUCUGUGAGAUUUUCCAGGUUCUGAACACAUUCCCAAUUCUCCUACGCAUCCCAGGGUUGGCUGACAAAGUCUUCCCUGGGCAAAAGACAUUUCUCAUAAUGGUGGAUAAGCUGGUGACUGAGCACAAGAGGACCUGGAACUCGGACCAGCCGCCUCGAGACCUGACUGAUGCCUUUAUGGCUGAGAUGGAGAAGGCAAAGGGAAACCCUGAGAGUAGCUUCAAUGAUGCAAAUCUAUGUCUGGUUGUCCUUGACCUGCUGGGUGCUGCAACUGUGACCACCUCAACCACACUGUCCUGGGCCCUGCUGCUUAUGAUCCUGCAUCCGGAUGUGCAGUGUGAGCCUGGCUGGGGCUGUCAAGAAAGGAGGAGGAGGGUAGAGGCAAACUCCUUAAACUUACUUGGGACACUUGUAGAUCCCAGCAUUGAGUUAACCCAGACUGCAGUAAGUAUGGUUGCCUUAUUUCUCCCAUGGACCCAGCCCUUAACAGAGAGGUAGUGGAUGGACAAGGGGCACCCACUGAAGCAUCUUAACUGAUGGGAAAAUGUCCUUCCAGGCCAAGUACAACAGGAAAUCGAUGAGGUCAUUUGGUAUGUGUGGCUUCCAGAGAUGGCAGACCAGGUCUGCAUGCCCUUCACCAAUGCUGUCAUUCAUGAGGGCAUGACUCUCAUCUCCAACCUGUUCCGUGCUGAAGGAUGAGACUGUCUGGGAGAAGCCCCUUCGCUUCCAUCCUGAACACUUCCUGGAUGCCCAGGGCCACUUUGUGAAGCCUGAGGCCUUCAUGCCAUUCUCAGCAGGUGCCUCUAGGGUGCCUUCCUGCCUAUCUUUCCCUAGGGUGCCUUGGAGGGUGGAGCACCAAUCAGGUCCCAGACUGAGCCCUCUUCUACACAUAGGCCACAGAUCAUGCCUGGGGGAGCCCCUGGCCCUCAUGGAGCUCUUCCUCUUCUUCACCUGCCUCCUGCAGCGCUUUAGCUUCUCAAUGCCAGCUGGACAAUCCCUUCCCAGUGAUUAUGGCAUCUAUACAAUGCCAGUUACUCCAGCACCUACCAGCUCUGUGCAGUGGUUUGCUAGCAGGGGCAGUGGCUCCAGCCAUCAUCACAGAUUGUUCUGACUGAUGUCCAAUAAACAAGUUUUGUGUCUGAAUCUCA
rnacentral:lncRNA from 1 species